GAGCCUGGGAGGCAGAAGUUGUAGUGAGCUGAGAUCGAGCCACUGCACUCCAGCCUGGGCGACAGAGCAAGACACUGUCUCAAAGAAAAAUAAAUAAAUAAAAUAAGGCCCUCUUUUUCCGGGACCAACAGACUCUGAGGGCAGGGACAAACUGACCCAGCCUAAACUGCCUCGCCUUCCCUGCUCCCGGGAAAGGGGCUUUCCCUGAGGGAAGGUAGCAUCUUGCCAUUUUCUUCCUGCACAGCUUUGCCUUCCCAGGGAUCCACCCAUUGCCACCUGAGGAAAUGCCUUGGAGCCCAUCUAAUCCCCAGCCCAGCUACUUGGGACGCCUACAGAGACUACAUUGUCAGAGGAUGCAUCUUCCUCUAGUCUUGGAGGGUUUCUUUUCAAUAUGAUCCCACCGGUGCAUGCAAGGCUCAAUUCUACAUCAAAAAACUAGGCCCACUCCUGUCACCGAGACCCCCAGGCUUCAGGUCCUGUCACAGUGACCUUGUUAUCACCCCCAGCAGCCCCCAGGAACAAGGAAUUAAAGCAGUGAACAUAACAAAGUCUGCCCUCGUGGUGCUAACUUGCCAGGUAUCCGUUAUAGCACUGAUGUGAGUGUAGAUGAAGUAAAAGCUUUGGCUUCUCUGAUGACAUACAAGUGUGCAGUGGUUGAUGUGCCGUUUGGGGGUGCUAAAGCUGGUGUUAAGAUCUAUCCCAAGAACUAUACCGAUAACGAACUGGAAAAGAUCACAAGGAGGUUCACCAUGGAGCUAGCAAAGAAGGG
rnacentral:lncRNA from 1 species